rnacentral:rRNA from 1 species
AGCUUUGAUCCGUAGAUGUCCGAAUGGGGAAACCCACUCCUUUUGGAGUAUCCAUGGCUGAAUACAUAGGCCAUGCGAAGCGAACGCGGUGAACUGAAACAUCUAAGUAACCGCAGGAAAAGAAAUCAACCGAGAUUCCCAAAGUAGUGGCGAGCGAAAUGGGAUGAGCCUUGCACUCUUUAUUUGUAUUGUUAGCCGAACGCUCUGGAAAGUGCGGCCAUAGCAGGUGAUAGCCCUGUAGGCGAAAACAGUAUGAAAGAACUAGGUGUGCGACAAGUAGGGCGGGACACGUGAAAUCCUGUCUGAAGAUGGGGGGACCAUCCUCCAAGGCUAAAUACUCGUGAUCGACCGAUAGUGAACCAGUACCGUGAGGGAAAGGCGAAAAGAACCCCGGGAGGGGAGUGAAAUAGAUCCUGAAACCGCAUGCAUACAAACAGUCGGAGCCUCGUAAGGGGUGACGGCGUACCUUUUGUAUAAUGGGUCAGCGACUUACGUUCAGUAGCAAGCUUAACCGUAUAGGGCAGGCGUAGCGAAAGCGAGUCCGAAUAGGGCGUUCAGUUGCUGGGCGUAGACCCGAAACCAGGUGAUCUAUCCAUGGCCAGGAUGAAGGUGCGGUAACACGUACUGGAGGUCCGAACCCACUAACGUUGAAAAGUUAGGGGAUGAGCUGUGGAUAGGGGUGAAAGGCUAAACAAACCUGGAAAUAGCUGGUUCUCUCCGAAAACUAUUUAGGUAGUGCCUCGUGUCUCACCUUCGGGGGUAGAGCACUGUCAUGGUUGGGGGGUCUAUUGCAGAUUACCCCGCCAUAGCAAACUCCGAAUACCGAAGAGUGCAAUCACGGGAGACAGACAUCGGGUGCUAACGUCCGGUGUCAAGAGGGAAACAACCCAGACCGCCAGCUAAGGUCCCCAAAUAUAGCUAAGUGGGAAACGAAGUGGGAAGGCUAAAACAGUCAGGAGGUUGGCUUAGAAGCAGCCACCCUUUAAAGAAAGCGUAAUAGCUCACUGAUCGAGUCGUCCUGCGCGGAAGAUGUAACGGGGCUAAGCUAUAUACCGAAGCUGCGGAUGCGUGCUUAGCACGCAUGGUAGGAGAGCGUUCCGUAAGCCUGCGAAGGUGCCUUGUAAAGGGUGCUGGAGGUAUCGGAAGUGCGAAUGCUGACAUGAGUAGCGAUAAAGGGGGUGAAAGGCCCCCUCGCCGUAAGCCCAAGGUUUCCUACGCAACGUUCAUCGGCGUAGGGUGAGUCGGCCCCUAAGGCGAGGCAGAAAUGCGUAGCUGAUGGGAAGCAGGUCAAUAUUCCUGCACCAUUGUUAGAUGCGAUGGGGGGACGGAUCGCGGAAGGUUGUCCGGGUGUUGGAAGUCCCGGUCGCUGCAUUGGAGAAGGCGCUUAGGCAAAUCCGGGCGCG